rnacentral:tRNA from 2 species
CGGGGCGUAGCGCAGUUUGGUAGCGCGCACGGUUCGGGACCGUGAGGUCGAAGGUUCAAAUCCUUUCGCCCCGACCA